rnacentral:rRNA from 1 species
UACGGAGGGUGCGAGCGUUGUCCGGAAUCACUGGGCGUAAAGGGCGUGUAGGCGGUCAAGUAAGUGGAAUGUGAAAUGCCCCGGCUCACCCGGGGACCUGCAUCCCAAACUGCUUGGCUUGAGUAUGGGAGAGGAUGAGGGAAUUCCUGGUGUAGCGGUGAAAUGCGUAGAUAUCAGGAGGAACACCGGUGGCGAAAGCGCUCAUCUGGCCCAAUACUGACGCUGAGGCGCGAAAGCUAGGGGAGCAAACGGG